UUAAGCGACUAAGCGUACACGGUGGAUGCCCUGGCAGUCAGAGGCGAUGAAGGACGUGCUAAUCUGCGAUAAGCGUCGGUAAGGUGAUAUGAACCGUUAUAACCGGCGAUUUCCGAAUGGGGAAACCCAGUGUGAUUUGUCACACUAUCAUUAACUGAAUCCAUAGGUUAAUGAGGCGAACCGGGGGAACUGAAACAUCUAAGUACCCCGAGGAAAAGAAAUCAACCGAGAUUCCCCCAGUAGCGGCGAGCGAACGGGGAGGAGCCCAGAGCCUGAAUCAGUGUGUGUGUUAGUGGAAGCGUCUGGAAAGGCGCGCGAUACAGGGUGACAGCCCCGUACACAAAAAUGCACAUGCUGUGAGCUCGAUGAGUAGGGCGGGACACGUGGUAUCCUGUCUGAAUAUGGGGGGACCAUCCUCCAAGGCUAAAUACUCCUGACUGACCGAUAGUGAACCAGUACCGUGAGGGAAAGGCGAAAAGAACCCCGGCGAGGGGAGUGAAAAAGAACCUGAAACCGUGUACGUACAAGCAGUGGGAGCCUCUUUAUGGGGUGACUGCGUACCUUUUGUAUAAUGGGUCAGCGACUUAUAUUCUGUAGCAAGGUUAACCGAAUAGGGGAGCCGAAGGGAAACCGAGUCUUAACUGGGCGUUAAGUUGCAGGGUAUAGACCCGAAACCCGGUGAUCUAGCCAUGGGCAGGUUGAAGGUUGGGUAACACUAACUGGAGGACCGAACCGACUAAUGUUGAAAAAUUAGCGGAUGACUUGUGGCUGGGGGUGAAAGGCCAAUCAAACCGGGAGAUAGCUGGUUCUCCCCGAAAGCUAUUUAGGUAGCGCCUCGUGAAUUCAUCUCCGGGGGUAGAGCACUGUUUCGGCAAGGGGGUCAUCCCGACUUACCAACCCGAUGCAAACUGCGAAUACCGGAGAAUGUUAUCACGGGAGACACACGGCGGGUGCUAACGUCCGUCGUGAAGAGGGAAACAACCCAGACCGCCAGCUAAGGUCCCAAAGUCAUGGUUAAGUGGGAAACGAUGUGGGAAGGCCCAGACAGCCAGGAUGUUGGCUUAGAAGCAGCCAUCAUUUAAAGAAAGCGUAAUAGCUCACUGGUCGAGUCGGCCUGCGCGGAAGAUGUAACGGGGCUAAACCAUGCACCGAAGCUGCGGCAGCGACACUAUGUGUUGUUGGGUAGGGGAGCGUUCUGUAAGCCUGUGAAGGUGGCCUGUGAGGGUUGCUGGAGGUAUCAGAAGUGCGAAUGCUGACAUAAGUAACGAUAAAGCGGGUGAAAAGCCCGCUCGCCGGAAGACCAAGGGUUCCUGUCCAACGUUAAUCGGGGCAGGGUGAGUCGACCCCUAAGGCGAGGCCGAAAGGCGUAGUCGAUGGGAAACAGGUUAAUAUUCCUGUACUUGGUGUUACUGCGAAGGGGGGACGGAGAAGGCUAUGUUGGCCGGGCGACGGUUGUCCCGGUUUAAGCGUGUAGGCUGGUUUUCCAGGCAAAUCCGGAAAACUAAGGCUGAGGCGUGAUGACGAGGCACUACGGUGCUGAAGCAACAAAUGCCCUGCUUCCAGGAAAAGCCUCUAAGCAUCAGGUAACAUCAAAUCGUACCCCAAACCGACACAGGUGGUCAGGUAGAGAAUACCAAGGCGCUUGAGAGAACUCGGGUGAAGGAACUAGGCAAAAUGGUGCCGUAACUUCGGGAGAAGGCACGCUGAUAUGUAGGUGAAGCGACUUGCUCGUGGAGCUGAAAUCAGUCGAAGAUACCAGCUGGCUGCAACUGUUUAUUAAAAACACAGCACUGUGCAAACACGAAAGUGGAAGUAUACGGUGUGACGCCUGCCCGGUGCCGGAAGGUUAAUUGAUGGGGUUAGCGGUAACGCGAAGCUCUUGAUCGAAGCCCCGGUAAACGGCGGCCGUAACUAUAACGGUCCUAAGGUAGCGAAAUUCCUUGUCGGGUAAGUUCCGACCUGCACGAAUGGCGUAAUGAUGGCCAGGCUGUCUCCACCCGAGACUCAGUGAAAUUGAACUCGCUGUGAAGAUGCAGUGUACCCGCGGCAAGACGGAAAGACCCCGUGAACCUUUACUAUAGCUUGACACUGAACAUUGAGCCUUGAUGUGUAGGAUAGGUGGGAGGCUUUGAAGUGUGGACGCCAGUCUGCAUGGAGCCGGCCUUGAAAUACCACCCUUUAAUGUUUGAUGUUCUAACGUUGACCCGUGAUCCGGGUUGCGGACAGUGUCUGGUGGGUAGUUUGACUGGGGCGGUCUCCUCCUAAAGAGUAACGGAGGAGCACGAAGGUUGGCUAAUCCUGGUCGGACAUCAGGAGGUUAGUGCAAUGGCAUAAGCCAGCUUGACUGCGAGCGUGACGGCGCGAGCAGGUGCGAAAGCAGGUCAUAGUGAUCCGGUGGUUCUGAAUGGAAGGGCCAUCGCUCAACGGAUAAAAGGUACUCCGGGGAUAACAGGCUGAUACCGCCCAAGAGUUCAUAUCGACGGCGGUGUUUGGCACCUCGAUGUCGGCUCAUCACAUCCUGGGGCUGAAGUAGGUCCCAAGGGUAUGGCUGUUCGCCAUUUAAAGUGGUACGCGAGCUGGGUUUAGAACGUCGUGAGACAGUUCGGUCCCUAUCUGCCGUGGGCGCUGGAGAACUGAGGGGGGCUGCUCCUAGUACGAGAGGACCGGAGUGGACGCAUCACUGGUGUUCGGGUUGUCAUGCCAAUGGCACUGCCCGGUAGCUAAAUGCGGAAGAGAUAAGUGCUGAAAGCAUCUAAGCACGAAACUUGCCCCGAGAUGAGUUCUCCCUGACUCCUUGAGAGUCCUGAAGGAACGUUGAAGACGACGACGUUGAUAGGCCGGGUGUGUAAGCGCAGCGAUGCGUUGAGCUAACCGGUACUAAUGAACCGUGAGGCUUAACCUU
rnacentral:rRNA from 1 species